AGCGAACGCUGGCGGCGUGGAUAAGACAUGCAAGUCGAACGAGAAUAAGCGGAUAGCAAUAUUUGCUUGUUCUAGUGGCGAAAGGGUGCGUAACACGUAGCUCACCUACCUCAUUGUGGGGGAUAGCUCGGCGAAAGCCGGAUUAAUACCGCAUGUGGUCGAAAGACUAAAGCUGGGGAUCGUAAGACCUGGCGCAAGGAGAUGGGGCUGCGGCCUAUCAGGUAGUUGGCGGGGUAAUGGCCCACCAAGCCGAUGACGGGUAGCUGGUCUGAGAGGACGACCAGUCACACUGGAACUGAGACACGGUCCAGACACCUACGGGUGGCAG
rnacentral:rRNA from 1 species